rnacentral:rRNA from 1 species
GCCAGCAGCCAUAUCACUCUGCAGCUCACAACUGGCAGCCCACUGAAGCUCAGCGGGUGUGAGCUUGGUCAGUACCUGGAGGGGAGACCUCCUGGGAAAAACUAAGGUUGCUGCUGGAA